UUAAGUUAUUAAGGGCGCACGGUGGAUGCCUUGGCACUAGAAGCCGAUGAAGGACGUUACUAACGACGAUAUGCUUUGGGGAGCUGUAAGUAAGCUUUGAUCCAGAGAUUUCCGAAUGGGGAAACCCAGCAUGAGUUAUGUCAUGUUAUCGAUAUGUGAAUACAUAGCAUAUCAGAAGGCACACCCGGAGAACUGAAACAUCUUAGUACCCGGAGGAAGAGAAAGAAAAUUCGAUUCCCUAGUAGCGGCGAGCGAAACGGGAAGAGCCCAAACCAACAAGCUUGCUUGUUGGGGUUGUAGGACACUCUAUACGGAGUUACAAAGGACGACAUUAGACGAAUCAUCUGGAAAGAUGAAUCAAAGAAGGUAAUAAUCCUGUAGUCGAAAAUGUUGUCUCUCUUGAGUGGAUCCUGAGUACGACGGAGCACGUGAAAUUCCGUCGGAAUCUGGGAGGACCAUCUCCUAAGGCUAAAUACUCUCUAGUGACCGAUAGUGAACCAGUACCGUGAGGGAAAGGUGAAAAGCACCCCGGAAGGGGAGUGAAAUAGAACCUGAAACCGUGUGCUUACAAGUAGUCAGAGCCCGUUAAUGGGUGAUGGCGUGCCUUUUGUAGAAUGAACCGGCGAGUUACGAUUUGAUGCAAGGUUAAGCAGUAAAUGUGGAGCCGUAGCGAAAGCGAGUCUGAAUAGGGCGUUUAGUAUUUGGUCGUAGACCCGAAACCAGGUGAUCUACCCUUGGUCAGGUUGAAGUUCAGGUAACACUGAAUGGAGGACCGAACCGACUUACGUUGAAAAGUGAGCGGAUGAACUGAGGGUAGCGGAGAAAUUUCAAUCGAACCUGGAGAUAGCUGGUUCUCUCCGAAAUAGCUUUAGGGCUAGCCUCAAGUGAUGAUUAUUGGAGGUAGAGCACUGUUUGGACGAGGGGCCCCUCUCGGGUUACCGAAUUCAGACAAACUCCGAAUGCCAAUUAAUUUAACUUGGGAGUCAGAACAUGGGUGAUAAGGUCCGUGUUCGAAAGGGAAACAGCCCAGACCACCAGCUAAGGUCCCAAAAUAUAUGUUAAGUGGAAAAGGAUGUGGCGUUGCCCAGACAACUAGGAUGUUGGCUUAGAAGCAGCCAUCAUUUAAAGAGUGCGUAAUAGCUCACUAGUCGAGUGACACUGCGCCGAAAAUGUACCGGGGCUAAACAUAUUACCGAAGCUGUGGAUUGUCCUUUGGACAAUGGUAGGAGAGCGUUCUAAGGGCGUUGAAGCAUGAUCGUAAGGACAUGUGGAGCGCUUAGAAGUGAGAAUGCCGGUGUGAGUAGCGAAAGACGGGUGAGAAUCCCGUCCACCGAUUGACUAAGGUUUCCAGAGGAAGGCUCGUCCGCUCUGGGUUAGUCGGGUCCUAAGCUGAGGCCGACAGGCGUAGGCGAUGGAUAACAGGUUGAUAUUCCUGUACCACCUAUAAUCGUUUUAAUCGAUGGGGGGACGCAGUAGGAUAGGCGAAGCGUGCGAUUGGAUUGCACGUCUAAGCAGUAAGGCUGAGUAUUAGGCAAAUCCGGUACUCGUUAAGGCUGAGCUGUGAUGGGGAGAAGACAUUGUGUCUUCGAGUCGUUGAUUUCACACUGCCGAGAAAAGCCUCUAGAUAGAAAAUAGGUGCCCGUACCGCAAACCGACACAGGUAGUCAAGAUGAGAAUUCUAAGGUGAGCGAGCGAACUCUCGUUAAGGAACUCGGCAAAAUGACCCCGUAACUUCGGGAGAAGGGGUGCUCUUUAGGGUUAACGCCCAGAAGAGCCGCAGUGAAUAGGCCCAAGCGACUGUUUAUCAAAAACACAGGUCUCUGCUAAACCGUAAGGUGAUGUAUAGGGGCUGACGCCUGCCCGGUGCUGGAAGGUUAAGAGGAGUGGUUAGCUUCUGCGAAGCUACGAAUCGAAGCCCCAGUAAACGGCGGCCGUAACUAUAACGGUCCUAAGGGAGCGAAAUUCCUUGUCGGGUAAGUUCCGACCCGCACGAAAGGCGUAACGAUUUGGGCACUGUCUCAACGAGAGACUCGGUGAAAUCAUAGUACCUGUGAAGAUGCAGGUUACCCGCGACAGGACGGAAAGACCCCGUGGAGCUUUACUGUAGCCUGAUAUUGAAAUUCGGCACAGCUUGUACAGGAUAGGUAGGAGCCUUUGAAACGUGAGCGCUAGCUUACGUGGAGGCGCUGGUGGGAUACUACCCUAGCUGUGUUGGCUUUUUAACCCGCACCACUUAUCGUGGUGGGAGACAGUGUCAGGCGGGCAGUUUGACUGGGGCGGUCGCCUCCUAAAAGGUAACGGAGGCGCUCAAAGGUUCCCUCAGAAUGGUUGGAAAUCAUUCAUAGAGUGUAAAGGCAUAAGGGAGCUUGACUGCGAGACCUACAAGUCGAGCAGGGUCGAAAGACGGACUUAGUGAUCCGGUGGUUCCGCAUGGAAGGGCCAUCGCUCAACGGAUAAAAGCUACCCCGGGGAUAACAGGCUUAUCUCCCCCAAGAGUUCACAUCGACGGGGAGGUUUGGCACCUCGAUGUCGGCUCAUCGCAUCCUGGGGCUGUAGUCGGUCCCAAGGGUUGGGCUGUUCGCCCAUUAAAGCGGUACGGGAGCUGGGUUCAGAACGUCGUGAGACAGUUCGGUCCCUAUCCGUCGUGGGCGUAGGAAAUUUGAGAGGAGCUGUCCUUAGUACGAGAGGACCGGGAUGGACAUACCUCUGGUGUACCAGUUGUCGUGCCAACGGCAUAGCUGGGUAGCUAUGUGUGGACGGGAUAAGUGCUGAAAGCAUCUAAGCAUGAAGCCCCCCUCAAGAUGAGAUUUCCCAACUUCGGUUAUAAGAUCCCUCAAAGAUGAUGAGGUUAAUAGGUUCGAGGUGGAAGCAUGGUGACAUGUGGAGCUGACGAAUACUAAUCGAUCGAAGACUUAAUCAA
rnacentral:rRNA from 1 species